CAACUACUCUGAUAUUACUUGCAAUUGAAAUUGCAAGUAGAUUAAUGUAAGUUACGUAGUUAUGUUUUAUGCUUUAUUUGUUUGUUUUACAGAUGAAUAAGUCAGUACUUCUAAUCUUGCUUCUUGUCGGACUUCUUGUCCUCACAGAUACAACCAACGGUUUGUGGGGUCGUCGUCGUCGUCAUCGUCAUCAUCGUCGUCGUCGUCGCUGGAACACAAACAGCCAGAAGCAAAAUCUCAAAGAUAUCGAAGAUCAUUACGACGCUUUUUCCUUUGAUGCUGAAGAGAACAUUCAAUAAGCAGAAGAUGGCCACCUCUGGUUGAAUUAUUGAUAAAUGUCACUCACAUUCACGAUUUAAUAUCAAUCAGAAAUAAAUUCAACCAUGGCAUUA